ensembl:lncRNA
AUGCGGAGGGCCCUCCUUCACACUCGUCCUUCAGGCCCUGCCAGAAGCCACGCCCACCUCACGCAGAGCAUGGUGUUCCUUCCACGCUGUGGAGAUGAGGGCUCACCUCCCUGCCGUGCCCAGACCAUGAGGCCACUGCCCUGGAAAGAAGCGGGAGGAAAUAAAAGCAUGUGGACAGGAGAAAUGGGAAGGAAAGGAAGCCACACAGGCAGGCUGCCGGCUCGCCCUGUCUGUGGUCCCCAGUCCAUCCGGAUCCUGACCGGGGGAGCCAGGAAAGACGGACCCAGAGGCCACAAAGACCCCAAGGGUCUCAGCGGCAUACGGACCGCUCCCCCAGACGCGACCUGCGGGAGGCUGUCAGCUGCUAGAAGCCUUGCAUUCCGCUUCGCGUCGUGUCCAGAGCAGGCACAAGGACGUAGCCAUUCCGAAGGGCAGGGCCCCGCCGGUGGAUCCCAGGACCGCGUACCCAGCCCCUCGCAGCCUGUUCUUGUUCUGCAGGAAGUCCGAAGCCUCCCUGCGCCCCGGGACGGCAUGAGGAGGCGCUGUCGAGGCCUGCACAGAGAGCUGGAACGGAAAGGCUGCAGAGGCGGGACUCUGUGGCGGAAGGCCGACGGCUGGGACCGUGGACUUCAGCUCAGUGUGCUGGCAUCCACUCCAAAGACCAGCUCAGGCCCGCUGCAUCUCAGCAGUUAAUUCUAGGAACUCAGGAGCCAGAGCCGGCGUCCGCAGCAGAAGCAGAGGACAGUACAGGGAUCCAAGGCGACCCUUUCUUCUACCACAAAGUCUCAUUGGUGCUUUUCCUUUCCUGUACUCCCAGAUGCCAUCUGGAAAGGGAAAGAGAAGCAGCGUUUACUUAAGACAGACGAGGUUAAGGGUGCCUGGGUGGCUCAGUCGGUUAAGCAUCCAACCUUGGCUCAGGUCAUGAUCUCACGGAUGAACUGUGAUAGGGUUUGAGCCCCGCAUCGGUUCUCUGUUGACCACUCAGAGCCUGGAGCAUGCUUCGGAUUCUGUGUCUCCCUCUCUGUCCCUCCCCUGCUCAUGCUCUGUCUCUGUCUCUCAAAAAUAAAUAAACGUUAAAAACAAUGUAAAAAAAGGGGCAUCUGGGUGGCUCAGUGGGUUAAGCACCAGACUUCAGCUCAGGUCAUGAUCUCAUGGUUUGUGAGUUCGAGCCCCACAUCAGGCUCUGUGCUGACAGCUUGGAGCCUGGAGCCGGAGUUGGUUUCUGUGUCUCCCUCCCCACCGCCCGUCCGCUGCUCACACUCUGUCUCUCUCUCUCAAAACUACAGGGCAGGCGUUGAUAGUGUCCAGUUACAGUCAGCCCUGCAGUCACAGCUAGUGGUGCAGCAGGAGGAGGGAGCCUUUGUGACAGGAGCAGUAGUCAAGGCAGAUGGUGGGCCAAGUGUUCAACAGCAAAGUGGGCGGGACCCACAACAGAGCCAGGAGGACAGACGUCCUGGGGCUGUGGCCUAUGACCACUGCAGGGGGCUUGCAACAAGCCCAUCUUCUCAGUUAGGACCUCUUGGUUGCUAGUGACAGAAAACCCAAACGACAUUAGGCUCUAGGAAUAGCCAAAAUAAAAAUUCGUGUCUUUCUAACGUAAAGUCUUAGGCAGUCCUACAGUGAUAGGUCAGCGCCGUAGUGUUGACGCCCCUUCCCGUCUGGUGUCUACAACCCACAUCCUGUGGCUUUUAGCUCCCGGCACCACACCCACAUUCCUGCAGCCUGAAGUAGACGGGAAGUAGAGCACACACACCUAUCUUAAGGUCGGGAACUAAAAGUUGCAUCAACAGCUUCCUCUUCCAACCUGAUGCCCAAAACACAGUCACAUGGCCACACCUAGGGCCUCAGUUAGCUGUGGCCACAAAAAUGCUUAGUAACAAACAACUACAAAAGAUGAGUGGCAGCCCACAGGAAGCAGUGAUUUCUUGUUCACAUGUCUACAGUGGAGCUGGUGUUGGGCUAGUCUAUGUUGGAUUCAGCUGGACAUGACCCCUGCAGCCUGUUCCAAUCUGUUCUACGUGUCUGUCCCCCUCUUGCCAGCAGCAAGCUACCCAGGGCAUGUGCGCCUCCUGGUCAUGGCCUUCAUGAUGACGGCAGCAUACGUAGGCCUUGGUCAGUCAGGUACGUGGGUUAGAAGCUAUUGGAGAAGGUUGCCCGAGAGCAAGAUUGGUUACCGGGCACGGUCUGAACCCUCUUCUCUACUUACCUAUCGAGAAUCAGAAUGGCAAGAUGAAGGUCUGACCUCAUCACCUUCACAAGCACAUUUAAGGCCUUUGCAUAGAUCCUGCCUGCUAACAUCCUAAUGGCCAACAUAAGUCACACACCCGGGCUCACGUCAGUGGGGCAGAAGGUAGCCUCUCGUGCAGAGAGGAGAGGAAGGAAGGAAUAACCGUCUUAUAAAUGACAAUCUAAUCUGUGAUCUGCAGCACGGUGGCCAUAGUAACUCCAGUUACAACGCUGGCGUUCCAUUCCUAGGGAAAGGAAGGGCAGCUGGACUGGGAGGACGGUCUCCACCCCAACGUGUGUCCGUCAGGAGGCCGUUUCUUCUAGUUAAAUGGAACCAUGAAUGUGUUCCUUGGUGGAAGCAUCCUUCUCUUUGGCACUAGGACGUCCAAACCCACGGAGCCCAAGUCUGCAGAGAUGAGAAGCACAAAAAUUCCUUUGUACAAAGUUCAUGUGAUGUGACCGUGAGGAGGAUCACCCCACGCCACUCAGUCACUGAACCGCCCAGGUGCCCCUCUCUAAAAAUAAAAAAUUAAAACAUACAUUGAAGAAGGAAAAGAGUAAUUUGAACUCAAGGUGAAUAGAAGAAAAUAACAACCAGAGUGAAAUUCAGUGAAAUCCUAAAAAAAACAAUAGAGAAAAGGCCAUGAAACCCAAAACUGAUUCUCUGAGAAAAAAGAAAAACCUAUAGAGUUGUUAAACUAUCAGUCACACUGAUCAGGAAAAAGUAGAGAAAACACAAAUUACCGAUGUCAAGAGUGAGAGAGAGAUGAUCACAGUGUUUACAGAUAUUGAAAGGAUAAUUUAGGAAUGUUACAAACAACUUAGUACCAAUAUACCUAACAACCUAAAUGAGAUGGAUGUAUUUCUCAAAAGACACAAACUGUCAAAAGUCAUUUAUGAAGAAAUAGAUAACCCGAAUAGAGUCACCUCUAUCGACAGUUUUGAAUUUGUAGUUAAAAUCCCCCCUCCCCCCGCAAAGACGCGUUGGCAAUGGCCCACUCAGCUGCAUGAGAGCAAGUCUGUGCUGUGGAGCCCACCACCGUCCCCUUUGGUCACCGUGGCCACUUUGUGAAUGGAUCUAUGAACCAAGCCCUAGAGAGUUUCUGAGGAAGAGGCCAUCCCAUGGUCACAGCUUGUGUCAUCUUGUCCUGAUUGGUGAGCGUCUCAUCGACAACAGAUGGCCCUUGGGGGAGCAUGUACGUGGAACAUGAAUAUCUUUAUACUUUGUGGCUCGCAGGAAGUCCAUCUUUCCCUUGACCUCCUUGUCCCCAGUCUUCUAGUGCUUUCCAAAUUCCUGACCAGCGGGCCAGGCUCACCCACGGGUCAAGUUCGAUCGGUGCCUCGACUAGGUCUGCGGUAGACCUCUGCGCUCAGGAGACCGUCCCUGCGCUGCAGGCUUCCAGGGCCGCUCCAGAGCACUCUGUGCUGCGGCCCUUCCGGCUGCUUCUGUAAGAGGCCUGCGCUCUCCUUGCCCCCGCUAGCUGGCCUUUCUUGUUUCCCCCGAGGACAUGGGUAGAACAUUGAAGGAGGUAUACUCAAGCAGUGGCAUCGGAUACCAGGGCGAUCGGGUAGUGCCCUGUGCCUUUGGAUCUACCCACUGUAUACCGCCUCCAUUUCAUAAUGGCGGGCGGAUAUGCCCCUCCAACGGCAUGGCUCACUCGACUAGAUAAUACGCAGUUCAUGAUAGGUGAGUCAGGUUGGUUGGGUCUCCUCAUGUCUCUUAUUUUCUUUUGUUUUGUUUUUAGAGAGAGAGAGAGCGUGCAAGCUGGGGAAAGGGGCAGAGUGAGAGAGAGAGUCUUCAGCAGGCUCCACGCCCAACUUGGAGCCCGACACACUCUCAAUCCCACAACCCUGGGAUCAUGACCUGAGCUGAAAUCAAGAGUCAGACGCUAACCGACGGAGUCCCCCAGGCUCCCUCCUCGUGUCCUCCUCCUCCCCCACCUGUGCUGUAUCCCGGGCCACUGCCGUGAUGACGUGCUUGCUCGUGAGGGCACCGUGUUUCACAGAUUGCCAGGGUCCUGUUUUGCUACCACAAGGGGGUCAUCCAUGCCUUCCUCAUAUACGUGAGCAGCUCAGUUCUGGAAUCCUAUUUUCUUUUUCAACAAUUCUGUACAUCACACCCUGCUCACCACAGUAGUUUACCUUCUGUCACCGUGCCGUGUUAUUACAGUGUUGCCGACUGCAUCCCCAUGCUGUGCUUUCCGUUUCCAUGGCUUAUUUAUUUUAUAACCGGAAGUUUGUACCUCUUUAUACCUUUCACCUAUUUCACCCCCCCCACCUCCCCUCUGGCAACCACCAGUUUGUUCUCUGCAUUUAUGGGUCUGUUUCUGGUUCUUUGCUUGAUUGUUUAUUGUUUGCUUUUUUAUUUUAUUGUUUAUAUUUUGCUUGUUUAUUGUUUGCUUCUUAGACUCCACGUGUAAGUGAGAUCUUACGGUAUUUGUCUUUCUCUGCCUGACUUACCGCACUUAGUACAUCUCUGGGUCCAUCCAUGUUGUCACAAAUGGUAAGAUCUCCUUCUUUUUUACAUCUGAUCUUAUUCUUUUUUAAGUCCAUUGUAUACAUACCACGUCUUCUUUAUCCACGGAGUCCUUUUUUCCCCUCCAUGAAAUCCUAUUUCAAAACCACUCCCAAUACCAAUCAUUGUACUAGUCGGGUCCCAAAAGGAGAUACUCGGCGUACUUAAAAUGGGUAACUUGAGGAGAGUUUGCUGAAGGAGCUUUUGGCAGAGUCACGGUCAGGGAUUAGGGAAUCCAAAGGGGAUGUGCUGUCCAAGAUUGGCAGCCUUGGGGAGCGAAACAGCCGUGGGCCAUGAAGGAGAAAGGAGAUGGAGGAUACUGGAACGAGAGAAGGUGAGGGACGGAGAAAGCUACGGCAAGUGGCUAUAGCCUCUGAGAGAGAUGAAGCUGGCCCGCAGCAAGCUCUCAAGAAGGGAGGCAGCCUUCCCUGACUUCCACCUCUCCCUGCUCUCUGAUCUCCUGCUGGUGCCCCCGUUGGCCACCAGCAAACCAGAGAGCAAAGGGAGCCUAUUGAUGUCAUCCUUGAAGGUUAGUGCCCUGAGGCACAGAGCCUGGCAGAGAAGAGGGGAGGAGAGGCGGAGGAGGAGACCAUCUCGAUCCAGCACACAACCCAAACCAGUUAAAACAAACAGGGAAUUCACUGGCUCACCGCAAAGUCAGGCUGUAAGGCUUGAAGCAAAGGCUCAAAUGAGGUCGUCAGCAUCUGGUGUCUCCUCCAUUCGCAGGCUUCAUACACAGGCAGGCUCUCCCAUUCAUGCUCCAAAAUGGCUCCAGAAGGCACAGCCUUUUCCACUCAAACACAGUGGAAUCAUGUUUGCACUCACAGGUCUAACAGGAGAACGGGAGAAACCUAAUGGAGGACCAGGGGGAGGGGAAGAGGGAGAGAGAGUUGGGGAGAGAGAGGGACGCAAAACCUGAGAGACUGUUGAUACUG